UACGAAGGGGGCUAGCGUUGCUCGGAAUCACUGGGCGUAAAGCGCACGUAGGCGGACUCUUAAGUCGGUGGUGAAAUCCUGGAGCUCAACUCCAGAACUGCCUUUGAUACUGGCGAUCUUGAGUCCGGGAGAGGUGAGUGGAACUGCGAGUGUAGAGGUGAAAUUCGUAGAUAUUCGCAAGAACACCAGUGGCGAAGGCGGCUCACUGGCCCGGUACUGACGCUGAGGUGCGAAAAGCGUGGGGAGCAACAGGAU
rnacentral:rRNA from 1 species